GAAUGACAGUGUAAUGUGAAAUUAAUUCCAACACUCACCAACAGUCAAACGAAAGUCAUGAUUGAUGGAAUUGACUGACCAGGGCAGUUAUGAUUUUUU